rnacentral:rRNA from 1 species
UACGUAGGGUCCGAGCGUUGUCCGGAAUUAUUGGGCGUAAAGGGCUCGUAGGCGGUUCGUCACGUCGGGAGUGAAAACUCGGGGCUUAACCCCGAGCCUGCUUCCGAUACGGGCAGACUAGAGGUAGGCAGGGGAGAGCGGAACUCCUGGUGUAGCGGUGAAAUGCGCAGAUAUCAGGAGGAACACCGGUGGCGAAGGCGGAUCUCUGGGCCAUUACUGACGCUGAGGAGCGAAAGCGUGGGGAGCGAACAGG